UGACAAAUAAAAUAUAUGUUAAAAAUAUUAUAUAAGUUUCAUACAUUAUAAAUUGAUCAAAUCACAUCUUAUUUGUUGCAUGCAAAUUAAAAUAAAAAAUAUGGAUAAAAUUCUCAUGUUCGUUUAUGUCAUAGUUUUAUUUCUUUUAUUAUUUCUUGUUGAAAAGAAUGUUGACGGUAAGUCUUUUUUUUUUUUUUAAUUUUCUUCUUUAAUUUUUAGAUUUUUAUCCAAUAUUUUAUCAAUUUUAGUAACACUAUGGUAUUCACUUUUUUUCAAUACAGCAAUAAAUUGUGAAACUGACGCUGAUUGUCCACAAGUUCCAAUCUUGCAUCCUAUGGUUAUGGUUUAUAGGUGCAUGAACAACAAUUGUGUAUUUGAUAGAGGGGAACGGAAGCCACUUAUUGUAUGAGUAUGAUACCCCAAGAGCUUACAUACUCCAGACAGAAAAUAAUGAAUUCUUGCACUUGAAACAGUUCAACCCAAUAAUUGUAUGUUUAUUUUUUUUAUAUAUGGUAAAAUAAUGUAUUUUGAAAUUAUGACUUUGUAUUCUACAAUAAAAUAAAAUAAAAUAAAAUAAAGCACUAAAUAAUAUUUGUAGGUGUUUAAUUGGCUGCA
rnacentral:lncRNA from 1 species